AUUGGCUAGUGGUAGUAUGGACAACACCAUCCAUAUCUGGAAUAUGAGCAAUGGUAUAUGCUCUGCUGUUCUGAGGGGUCACUCUAGUCUUGUUAAAGGUGUCACCUGGGAUCCGAUUGGUUCAUUUAUAGCUAGUCAAUCAGAUGAUAAGACUGUCAUAAUUUGGCGAACAAGCGACUGGAGCCUUGCUCAUAGAACUGAAGGUCACUGGGCAAAAUCUCUUGGAUCGACCUUCUUUAGGCGUCUUGGAUGGUCA
rnacentral:misc_RNA from 1 species